rnacentral:misc_RNA from 1 species
GUAGAAAGUGAAGAGGAAUUAAGAGUUUUUUGAUGAGGGUGAAGGAGAGUAGAAAAGUUGGUUUAAAAUAUUAAAAAAUGUGAAGUGAUGUAAUGGUAUUUUUUUUUUAUGAGAAUGUGAUUUUGUAGAUAUUGAGUUUGAUUUAAGAAUUAAAAGAGUUCGUGUUUUUGAAUAGUUAGAUUGUUAUAUAUAAUUUUUAUAGAAUAGUGUAAAUUUG